rnacentral:tRNA from 1 species
CGGAGUGUAGCUCAGCCUGGUAGAGCACUGUCUUCGGGAGGCAGGGGCCGGAGGUUCGAAUCCCUGCGUUCAUCCA